GAUGAACGCUGGCGGCGUGCCUAACACAUGCAAGUCGAGCGAACGGACGAGAAGCUUGCUUCUUUGACGUUAGCGGCGGACGUGAGUGUAACACGUGGAAAACCUACCUAUAAGACUGGGAUAACUUCGGGAAACCGUAGCUAAUACCGGAUAAUCUUCUGAUCCGCAUGGUUCAAUAGUAAAAGACGGUCUUGCUGUCACUUAUAGAUGCAUCCGCGCUGCAUUAGCUAGUUGGUAGGGUAACGGCUUACCAAGGCAACGAGGCAUAGCCGACGGGAGCGGCUGAUCGGCGACACGAGAGCGUGACCGCGGACCAGGCUACUGCGGGAGGGCGCAGAAUGGAAUCUGCGGCAGUGGGCGGAAGUAUGGCGGAACAGGGCCAAGUGAGAGGUGGAGAUCUUCGGAGCGGAAAACUCUGUUAUUAGGGGAAAACAUAUGUGGAAGUAACUGAGCAGAGCGUGACGGUACCUGGUCAGGAAGCCACGGCUAACUACGUG
rnacentral:rRNA from 1 species